AAGCCUGUUUAUUAAUUAGCAUUAGUGUCACAUCUCACCGACACCCCUUCUGCCCAUUCUCUCUCAGCCACAGUUGUGGAAUCUCAAAGCAGUUAAAAUAGCGGAGGACUCCCGCUGCAUGCUUGAGACUCUGGUAGCCAGAGGGCCUGGUGGCAAACCUCUCCCCCACAUAGCCGCUCUGGUAGUGCCCAACUCCUCAUCCUUAGGUGUCUUUGGACACACUUCGAGCGUCUCCUUUAACUGCCACACCCACCUGUAUGUAUAACCUGUUUACACCUGACUGCAGUUCUGUCUGGCCCUCGCCUUCUAACCUGGGCCUCCACUCAUCCCAGCCCGACUGGGCUCCCGGUCUAUUUAGACUGGAGACUUUGCUCGCGCUGAUCCUCAGGUGCAGGUGAGACUGGCCUCGAGUGGCCGCGUUUGGAGGGGUUCGGUGGCGGCCUCCACAGUGGAUCAACCGCCAACUUCCAAUGUGCGGUGGGGUCACGGCAUGUCACGACUUUUUUAUUUUUUAGUGGGAGAGGCGGCUGUAUUGUGAAAAAGAAGGAAUGCCAAUCCACUGGAUGGUUUGGUUUUCGUACGGGUCCGUACGCUGAGCACUGGGUGCGCCGGAGCUCUCACUGUGCACGCGUGGACCGCGAGUGGGGCUGAGGUCCGCGGAAGUUGCAAAGGCAUGUGCUGAUCUGCAUGAGAAAGGGCCAGUCGCGUGGCUCAGCUGGCGGCCCCGGCGCAGAUGACAGAUCGCCCCGGCUCGCUGCCCCUCCAGCCCCCGCCCGCCGCUCCUUCCUCGGAACCGCGGGUCAUCUGCUCGGGGCUGUCCUGCGCUCAUCUCCAUGACAAAGCGCGUGUUUACCUGCGGCCGCGGCACCGGCGGGCGCGCCUUUGUCCUGGGAUCAGAUUACCGCGGCAGCUGCGCGCAGCCUCCCGCGCGAGGCUGCACUGCCCCAGCGAACCCUGUCGCCGAGCGCGCCGAGCCGAACGGGAUGGGGGUGGGGGCGUCGGGUGGCUCCUAUGGCCCGGGAGAGGCUGCUUUCGGUUUGGUGCGUGCCGGACCCGGAGCCUCGCGACGGGGAGCCGACGCCCCGAGGGCUUCCUGAAGGAGGCGGAGGCGCCGGGCGGGUGCUGGGAGGGCGCCAGUGCGGAAGCUGGGGCUCAAGCCUGGGUCGUCCCUGGCCACCGCAGGGGGUUGCGCACGCGCGAGGGACGGGGCCUCCGAGCGCCUAAAGCCCGAGUCAGGACCGUUCUGCCAGCCGCUGCCCGGCCCUCGCCCUACCCCGCUGAUGCCGCCGGGGAGGGCGGGCUGCGAGGGUCGGGGUGGCAAGCGCCGACAGGCUGGCGCCCUGGGGGAGCUCUCGAGAGGGGCAGACUCCACGAGUGCCGCGGCCGCCCCCGCGGAUGGGCUUCUCGCCCUGGCCAGCGGGGUCAGGCCUCGGCCUGGGCAUCUGUGGGACGCGUGGCGGCCCCUUUCACUACUCCAUCAGGGGUCGAGGCCUCACCUGGAAAUGGCAAGCCUGUGACUGUAAAAAGACGACGCCAAGACAGGAAAAGGCGUUGAGAGGGUGGUAGGAGCGAAGCCCCACGCUCCCCCGGCAUUCAAACGUGGCUACAAUGAGCGGCCUUUGUGUGCAGAGAGUCACUAAAUAUAUUAAUCUGUACUCCCCGGAGCACGGGCUGUUUAAUUUUUCACUAGCAAUAACAUCUGAUCUAAUCCUUAAAUCGGCUCCCCAAAGCCUCGCCUCCCGCCCACCCCCUCUACCGAAAAACGUGUGAAGUUAUUCAACUUUCCACCUGUUGCCUGAAUUGGGCUGGGUCACUGCAACAUCCAAGGCUGGAUCAGGCCAGGAGGGGGAACAUGGGCCUGGGCAUGCUCAUCAGCCAUUCUAAUGACACAGGACUGCAGGUGCUUUCAGGAGGCACUGAACCACUGCUCAGCAGUAGGGACACUUGCGAGUCUCUCAGGAGUAGUCACACACUGUGAUGUGGUGGUUGGGGCUGUUCCUGCUGGUGAACUGUCUGAGGUGGUUCCAGGCUCAGGGUGUGUUGGUAGGAACCACCCCAUCAACUGCCAGCAGGCCAGGUCCUCCCUUACUUCUCAGAGCCACAUGAAGUCAGGGCCACGGAGGUGACAGCCAUGUUCCAGCAGAUGGGAAGCCACAAAUGACUCAGAGCAAGGGGUAUGGCCAGACAUGGCAGGAAGAAUGGCUCCUUUGGCUCCUGUUUGGUUUUACCUUCCUGAUCACACAGGGCUUGAGACCAAUGUGAGAUCGGACCUGUGGUCUGCCACAAUACAAAUGAUAAAAUGUCUUGGAGAUGGCU